rnacentral:lncRNA from 1 species
GGGGCGAUCGUACAUGGGAUUCAAGGGGAUAACUUCGGCUGCAAAAAUUUCUCUGUACUUCCUUCAUUCAAAAUUUAAACUCGAAAGUAGAGAGACUGGUAUUGGGUAUAAAAUACCCCUCAGUCGAAGUUCGUGAUGGGAGUGACCCUCUGGGUAUCCAACUGACUUUCGACCUCCGGCAACGUCUCUUCAAACCUCCA